CUGGAUUUUACAAUUUUCCACCCCCUUUUUGGAAAUGUUCUCCCAAGCCUUAGGUGAAUGGACUGCACUGGAGAUGUGCCCAUUGGGACUGGGCUCCAUUUUGAUUGCUUGACGGUUCUUCUCCAUCUGUUGUAGAAAGCAGCACCUUGGAGGAGGGAACUGGAAAAGUACAAAACGAGUCCAUUCCAAGAAAACCACGCCUUAUGAGCUGCCAAUCAGGAACCGCCAGGAGGUGCCCUGCUACCUGGCCUGAGCAAGCCUGAGCCAAAAAUAGUUGAUCAACAAUAAUUCUGAGCUAAAUAAAAUUCAUCCCAGAUUCUCUCAUAGAAGCUUUGUAAGGAAGAAGAGACUCUUGAUUACAAUUAAUUCAAGUGAAGAGAGGCGGUAGGUAAAUCAUUAAGUAGAGCUGGUGAGUGGUAGCUUCUACGUGGGAUUCUUAUCUGCAACUGCUCAUAAUUAAGGAAGGUGAGGUUUCUAUGUAAUGGAGCAUAAUUAGCAGAGAAAUAUGCAAGGUCUCCUUAGAGAGCCUUCAUACCGCCACAGCCAGUAGAAUCUUACAUAAACAUAUCAUGCAUUUAGACAAAGAUUAUAAUCACAAAAAUAUUUGUUUACAGUGGUGCUAUUAAAGGAGCCAUUAUAAAUAAAUACUGUUGAUACUCCAGAGAAAUCUUGUCUGAGCUCAUGGGAACAGGAAGACGUAGGCCAUCCUUAUAGUGGGUUUGGCGUACCCAAGACUUCUUAGCAGCAGUAAACAGCUUCAAAUUUGUUCCAAAGCUCAGGGAAGUUAAGCGCAUCCCUCUAGAUUAGCUUACCUUUGAGUAGUAGGGUCAGGAUUCAGAACUGUGAGACUAUCAACAAACAAUUGCCACCAGAAGGUUACUCCUGCAUGCCCACUCCUUGUGCAUUAUUCUUAAAGUAGUCAAAAUGUUACAGCAUUAAAAUAUUUUUUUUCUUUGGUUCUUUUUUUUUCGGAGCUGGGGACCGAACCCAGGGCCUUGCACUUCCUAGGCAAGUGCUCUACUACUGAGCCAAAUCCCCAACCCCACAGCAUUAAAAUCUACUUAUUUGUCUUGAUUUAUCUGGGCUGCUGGAUUAAUGGUGGCCUUAUAACAUACAUAAUAUACAACAGACAUUUAUUCUUCAUAAUUCUAUACAUUAGGCACAACCAGGACACCAGCAGAUUGUUUCUGAGGGAUGGCUUUGUCAGAGAUAGAGUGAGGCCUUGGAUGGGUGCCUUCACCCAGAGGAAGGAGCGAGUGCCCACUUUGGGCUUCUUUCACAAGGCCACUCAUUCUAUCCAUCCAGGCUCCCCGAUAGCCUAUCUCCCUCACAGAGGAACCACCUCUAUACUGUCUGUCAUCUUGGGGGUUAAGGUUUAAAUAUGUGAAUCGGAGGGCAACACAUACAUUCAAGACCACUGCAGACGUCUGGAAGUGGUGUCUUCUUUCAACAUUCAAAGCCAAACCGCUUUUGAUACCUUUCUUCUUGAGAGGUCAUUCAUUCUUAUGGUUGAUUAUUCAUUUGGGAAAGACGUGUGGAGCUUUUGACAAGAUCUGAACACUCAGUCUUGUGAUUUCCUCUAUCUGGUUAGCUAUCUCUACUCUGUUCUUUUACCAAGACUCUUCCACCAGCUUCUCACCAUUUCUACUUUAUAAUUACUUCAUAUUGCUAUCCUCACUUUCAUUCUUUGUUGCCCUGAUGAUUCCCCCACAGAGGAUCCCUCACAGCCUGCCCACCUAUAAUUCUCCUGAGGAGGCAUGGAGGAGAGACAACUAUGGAAGCCUAAAGAUGGCUUGGCUUACAGUGCUUUCGGAUUGGGGGCAUCCUCUCCUCUCCCAGUCUCAAACAUCCUUGAGAGAUAAGCUAUGACCAAACACCUCAAAAGGCAACAAAUGGGCCAAAGAAAGCCAAGCUUUACUCUGCAACAUGAAACUUUUUACACAGACUUCUAUACUGGAGAGAAUAGGCUACAGAUAAUCAUUUAAAAAUUACUGACUUUUAUGAGUUUUUGGAUCAUGAAAGAGAACACAACUUUAAGUAUUUUCUCACAAAGAUAAUCUCGGGCUGGAGAGAUGGCUCAGAGGUUAAGGGCACUGUCUGCUCUUCCAGAGGUCCUGAGUUCAAUUCCCAGCAACCACAUGGUGGCUCACAAUCAUCUAUUAUGAGAUCUGAUGCCCUCUUCUGGCAUGCAGGCAUACAUGCUGGUGGAACACUGUAUACAUAAUAAAUAAAUCUUUUUAAAAAAAGAUAAUGUCAUAAAUGCUACUAUUUACUUAAAAUAUGUGGUUCUAUAAAUUGAUAUAAUUUGAUAAAUUGA